rnacentral:lncRNA from 1 species
GCCAGGUGGCUGGUACUGAGGUACCCACGCCUGCUUCCUCUGCCAGGAAGAGAGACCCCCCACUAAGGGCCCCAAACACAAGGCUCACUUCCUGGAAGCAUGAGGACUGGAGGUGACACAGAAAAGGCUGGCGUGAACUUCCAGACACCUGAGGAGCAAGAGCUCAGAGUUCCAGCUGGAGGUGGCCCGGACUGCAGACUUGGCCAUGGCCAGUGGUGGCCCUUCCCGGACAUGGCUUGGAGCUGAUGGAGCUGCUGUUUGGGACAGCAGGAUGUGGCUUGACUCGGGCACUGAAAAACAAGGCUGGCUUUUAUGAAAAACAAACAAAAACUCAGGUGACCAGAGUUUCACGCAUGCUCAGAAAGCAGUGGCAAGUUAGGAUUAUAAUAAUAAUGUUAUAACAAUAAUAAUGUUAUAACAAUAAUAAUGACAGUAGCAAAUAACCAUCUUUUUGAGGAUUUAUGGAACAUGUCAGACACUGCUUUUUUUUACAUGGGUUGUUUUGUUUACAUGGAUUACCCCAUAGGGGAGGUAAUAGAAGGGGAUUUAUAAUGACAGUCAAACCUGAAAAGGAGACACUUUGUUUUAGCACAACAAGACCCAGGGUACCUGCAGGCUGGAGUGUGGCUUUCUCAUGGGCUCCAGGUGAUUGCAGGGAUGGAGAGAGAAACUCGUCCAUUUCACUUGCAGGGUACACAGGGACUUGCCAUCACAACCUUUUUCAUUUCCAACCAUUUUCUUCCUGUUGGAAGGAAUAUUCCUCAGCUGAAGUUGGAUCUGAUUUAAUAAGGCAAUAACCAGAGAAAUGCAUUUCAAUUGAUUAUUAAGCAUUUGUUUAUUAGGACUCAGUAGCUCUGACCCAAAUAGCUGCUAAGCAGUCAUUAAACAUCAAAGAAG